AAGGGGCCUCGGCGCGGUGCCACAUCGCCAAACCCCCCCAGGGCAGAAAUGCAGCAAGGGUAGGCGGUCCCUGGCAGGUGCGCCGGGGCUUUUUUUA
rnacentral:SRP_RNA from 1 species